GACAGAGGGUGCAAACGUUGUUCGGAAUUACUGGGCGUAAAGGGCGCGUAGGCGGUCUUGUAAGUCCUGUGUGAAAUCCCUCGGCUCAACCGAGGAACUGCACAGGAAACUGUGAGACUUGAGUUCGGGAGAGGGAAGCGGAAUUCCGGGUGUAGCGGUGAAAUGCGUAGAUAUCCGGAGGAACACCGGUGGCGAAGGCGGCUUCCUGGACCGACACUGACGCUGAGGCGCGAAAGCCAGGGGAGCAAACGGG
rnacentral:rRNA from 1 species